rnacentral:rRNA from 1 species
UCCGAGGUGAACCUGCGGAAGGAUCAUUAAU